AUUGAACGCUGGCGGCAUGCCUUACACAUGCAAGUCGAACGGUAACGGGCCUUCGGGUGCCGACGAGUGGCGAACGGGUGAGUAAUACAUCGGAACGUGCCCGAUCGUGGGGGAUAACGAGGCGAAAGCUUUGCUAAUACCGCAUACGAUCUACGGAUGAAAGCCGGGGACCGCAAGGCCUUGCGCGGGCGGAGCGGCCGAUGGCAGAUUAGGUAGUUGGUGGGAUAAAAGCUUACCAAGACGAAGAUCUGUAGCUGGUCUGAGAGGAUGAUCAGCCACAUUGGGACUGAGACACGGCCCAGACUCCUACGGGAGGCAGCAGUGGGGAAUGUUGGACAAUGGGCGCAAGCCUGAUCCAGCCAUGCCGCGUGCAGGAUGACGGCCUUCGGGUUGUAAACUGCUUUUGUACGGAACGAAAAGCCUUCUUUUAAUACAGGAGGGUCAUGACGGUACCGUAAGAAUAAGCACCGGCUAACUACGUG
rnacentral:rRNA from 1 species